UAGGGAAUCUUCGGCAAUGGACGAAAGUCUGACCGAGCAACGCCGCGUGAGUGAAGAAGGUUUUCGGAUCGUAAAACUCUGUUGGUAGAGAAGGACGUUGGUGAGAGUGGAAAGCUCAUCAAGUGACGGUAACUACCUAGAAAGGGACGGCUAACUACGUGCCAG
rnacentral:rRNA from 1 species